GUAACCGCUGAGGAGUUCCACAAUAGGACGAAACGGCCGUCCAGUAC
rfam:Schistosoma mansoni strain Puerto Rico chromosome 6, complete genome